rnacentral:rRNA from 1 species
UACGAAGGGGGCUAGCGUUGCUCGGAAUCACUGGGCGUAAAGGGUGCGUAGGCGGGUCUUUUAAGUCAGGGGUGAAAUCCUGGAGCUCAACUCCAGAACUGCCUUUGGUACUGAGGAUCUUGAGUUCGGGAGAGGUGAGUGGAACUGCGAGUGUAGAGGUGAAAUUCGUAGAUAUUCGCAAGAACACCAGUGGCGAAGGCGGCUCACUGGCCCGAUACUGACGCUGAGGCACGAAAGCGUGGGGAGCAAACAGG